GCUGUCACUGUUUUUGUCCCAUAUCACUAGUCACACGUUCACCUGUCAUAAUCUUGUUAGUCUACUUGGAAAUUUGUAAUUCUAAGGAUGCUGUAGACCUAAAUUUACUCAAGACACACGGGGUUGUUGCUUUCUGAAUUCCGGACAGUCCUAACGACAAACUGUAAAUAUAAAAUGCCCUGUCUAUACAGAAUCUUUGCGGUAUAGAACUGCGUACUAUCCUCAAUUUCCUGGUGGUCCAGCACCGCACCCAACCUUCCUCCCCCACCCACCUCCACCGACAUCAACCCAACCACAACCACCGCUCCCACCUCAACAUCCUGCCAUGUAUAGCAGUCACAGUUACCCGUACGCCUUCAAUCAAUCCCCCCACCAGACCCCACCCAGCCACCCCCCACCUCAACCUUACAUGCCCAUGCCUUCCCAAUCCCAGCCCAACCUGAGAUAUCCACACCCCUCACCUGCCCCUCCCUCUUACCCUACCCCACCGACAUUGGCAACAUCAUCACCAGCAGUAUCCAUGACAGCAGUGGGAGGAACACCAGGGGCGAGCAGGGGGUCAUCGGAGUUCCCCCUCCUGACACACUUGUCAGUAGAUGAACUUCAGAGGUUACUCGCCUCGGAGGACAAACUGAAUGAUAUUGCUGAUGAUGCAAAUCGG